AUACGUAGGUGGCGAGCGUUGUCCGGAUUUACUGGGUGUAAAGGGCGUGUAGGCGGAAUGGCAAGUCAGAUGUGAAAUACGGGAGCUUAACUCCCGGGCUGCAUUUGAAACUGCUGUUCUUGAGUGAUGGAGAGGUAAGCGGAAUUCCCGGUGUAGCGGUAAAAUGCGUAGAUAUCGGGAGGAACACCAGUGGCGAAGGCGGCUUACUGGACAUUAACUGACGCUGAGGCGCGAAAGUGUGGGGAGCGAACAGGAUUAGAUACCCUGGUAGUCCACACUGUAAACGAUGGAUACUAGGUGUGGGGGGACUGACCCCUUCCGUGCCGGAGUCAACACAAUAAGUAUCCCACCUGGGGAGUACGGUCGCAAGAUUAAA
rnacentral:rRNA from 1 species